rnacentral:rRNA from 1 species
UGAAAUUUUAGCAUAUCAAUAAGCGGAGGAAAAGAAACUAACAAGGAUUCCCCUAGUAACUGCGAGUGAAGCGGGAAAAGCUCAAAUUUAAAAUCUGGCGGUCUCUGGCUGUCCGAGUUGUAAUCUAGAGAAGUAAUGCCCGUGCUGGACCGUGUACAAGUCUCCUGGGAUGGAGCGUCAUAGAGGGUGAGAAUCCCGUCUCUGACACGGACUACCAGUGCAUUGUGGUAUGCUCUCAAAGAGUCGAGUUGUUUGGGAAUGCAGCUCAAAAUGGGUGGUAAAUUCCAUCUAAAGCUAAAUAUUGGCGAGAGACCGAUAGCGAACAAGUACCGUGAGGGAAAGAUGAAAAGAACUUUGGAAAGAGAGUUAAACAGUACGUGAAAUUGCUGAAAGGGAAACGCUUGAAGUCAGUCGCGUUGGCCGGGGAUCAGCCUCGCUCUUGCGUGGUGUACUUUCUGGUUGACGGGUCAGCAUCAAUUUUGACCGCUGGAAAAGGUCCUGGGGAAGGUGGCAGCUUCGGCUGUGUUAUAGCCUCUGGUCACAUACAGCGGUUGGGAUUGAGGAACUCAGCACGCCGCAAGGCCGGGUUUCGACCACGUUCGUGCUUAGGAUGCUGGCAUAAUGGCUUUAAGCGACCCGUCUUGAAACACGGACCAAGGAGUCUAACAUGCCUGCGAUG